GACGUAGGGCGCGAGCGUUGUCUGGAAUUAUUGGGCGUAAAGAGCUCGUAGGCGGUCUGUUACGUCUGCUGUGAAAACCCAGGGCUUAACCCUGGGCUUGCAGUGGAUACGGGCAGACUAGAGGCAGGUAGGGGAGAAUGGAAUUCCCGGUGUAGCGGUGAAAUGCGCAGAUAUCGGGAGGAACACCGGUGGCGAAGGCGGUUCUCUGGGCCUGACCUGACGCUGAGGAGCGAAAGUGUGGGGAGCGAACAGG
rnacentral:rRNA from 1 species